rnacentral:tRNA from 1 species
GCCGAUGUAGCUCAGUUGGUCAGAGCAGCUGAUUUGUAAUCAGCGGGUCGGGGGUUCGAAUCCCUCUAUCGGCU